rnacentral:rRNA from 1 species
UACAUGUGGGGCAAGCGUUGUCCGGAUUUAUUGGGCGUAAAGAGCGUGUAGGCGGUUAGGUAGGUCCGUUGUGAAAACUCGAGGCUCAACCUCGAGACGCCGAUGGAAACCAUCUGACUAGAGUCCGGAAGAGGAGAGUGGAAUUCCUGGUGUAGCGGUGAAAUGCGCAGAUAUCAGGAGGAACACCCGUAGCGAAGGCGGCACCCUGGGCCGAUACUGACACUGAGGAGCGAAAGCGUGGGGAGCGAACAGG